GGGAGUUCGAGAGGAAAUAAGAGGAGAACUGAGCAGUGGGAGAACCAUGAGGAAAGCUGACUUGCUUCAUGGAGGAGGCAAAAAGUGAAAGAGAUUACUGUUUGAGAGGAGGAACAUAAGCUUUAUAGCACGAUAACACUGAAACUUGGGAGAUAAAAGACACCAACCUGAAUCAAGGAGUAGUUUAUGGUGUGUGGGCGGACAAUACUGAAAUACAUGAAGAAUUUUGUAACAGUUUUGAUUAUGAUUUUGCGUUUACUAUGAACCUACUAGUUGGUGCUCCGCAGAACCCUACGCAAACCUCUGUGGGAACCACCUAACCAUGGAUUUACACAGAAAACUGAGUUUAUUGGAGAACCAUCUCAUCCGAAUUCGUCCACGAUCAGAUUGAGAACAAUAUGGAGUAUUCCCUAUGCGCAGUUGUCUUUUGAAGGCUAUUCUGGAUGUGUGAAUCCAAAGGGAGUUGAAAUGCCUAUCAGGAGAAUUAAGAAAAAAUAACAGUAGCACCACCAACACCAGCAUUGCAGUCUCAACUGUACCCACGAGCCCCAUUCCACCAUUGCCACAUUUGGUGCACCAUUCUCAAGUCCGCGACCCUUCCUUCCUCUUGGUGUACUUUUCCUAUCUUGGUGAGAAUUUAUAGGUUUUAAAAUUGAAUUUUCAAAACGGUUUUCAAUUGAAAUAAACCCAGUUUU